UCUUCCGUAGUAUAGUGGUCAGUAUGCAAGCUUGUCAUCAAAACAAUACGCUUGAGACCCGGGUUCAAUUCCCGGCGGGAGAG
rnacentral:tRNA from 2 species